UCUGUCUCAAAAUAAAUAAAUAAAACAAAAAAUAAAAAUAAAUACAAAAAUAAUGAUAAAGAAGACAGUUACGGUACAGCUAACAUCCUUCUACUUUUUUUUAACAUAACGAACGCUAGAAUGUAAGCUCCAAAUGGGCAGGGACUUUCGUCAGUUUUUUUUUUUAACAGACUGACUGACUCACCCACCCUCUCUCCACUUGUGAGUUUUGUUUCCUGCCGAAACAGUAUGCUGGAGUAGCGUAGGCACAGAGUAGGUGAUCAACCCGUGUUUGCUGGCCGUGAAUUUGUUGAAUGAAUACCAAGUGUCUGCUACGUUCAAGGGAUUUUAUUAGGAGCUGUAUGGACCGAAAGGAUGUACGGGGCGUGGCAGCCAUCCUUAGGAGUUCACAGCCCAGCGGGGAGGACCAGGAUGUGUCCAGAAGCAGCUAACAUGCAAGACACUUCGCGAGUGCUCGGUGAGUGCCAUAAAUAAUGCAACAAAGAAUGUUUUUCUCACUUUGAAUCAGUUUAUGGAAUAAGCAAAAGUUACAUAUACUUUGGUCAGUAAAUCUUGGUCCUUUCUUAUUUAAAAUUUUUUUUACACAGAGAGAAAAAUUUUUAAACAUGCUUUCACAUAAUUGUACUUUAACAGGAGAUAAAUUUGGAUUUGGAAGUGUUCUGUACUGAAAGAAAUACUGGCCCUUUUAGAAACUUUUUUUACAGUUUCAAAUGAUCUCAUCUCAAAGAUAGUCUGUUUCAGACAGAGACAUCUGAUAUCUAACAGGGCCUGUGGUGGCUGCUAAUGAAACAAUGGAUUUCCCAGGAGAGAGGAGAGAGAGAAUGCCACACGGCUAUGUCAUGAACUGCUCUGUUCCGGUUGUCCCACCAAGGAAGGCACAGGACUGCUAGGAGAACACAGAAAGGCUGUCCUUUUUCUCUCCUGCUUCCGCCUCCUCUGGGACAUUCAUCCCUCUUUGGGCUGAAGCAGGGAGAGAUCAGGGAAGCCACCACGUUGCCAGAAGGGCCUCUCGAAGCAGGAGCAGUUUAAAGAAAACCAAUGGACUAUCUGAUUGGUGUUGUAGGUUUUUGAUGUUACAAACAAGGAUGAACCAUGCCAGAACACGCAGAAGAUGAGACUACCAUAUAAAAGAUGCCAUCCCUAUACCAGAAGGGAAGAAACAUUCAUAUCACCAGAGAUGGGGAGUCCAGGCCAAGAGAAAUCUGCACAAACCUUGUUAACCUAACCCUCAUCUUCCUUGUUACUUCUCCAUGAGUGCCACUCUUUGUCCAACCUGGUAUAUGAGCACUUAGGUCUAGUCACAUCUUUGGGUCUUCUAUUUUUUCUUAUGAUGGUUCCCACAUAUGUGUAAAUAAAAUUCGUAUGCAUUUCUCCUGUUAAUCUGUUUUGUCAGUUUAGUUAGGCCCAGCUGGAGACCCUAAGAGGGCAGAGGAGAAAUUUGCCUCCCCUGUAGUACCAAAUUGGGGAAUGAAGAAUGACCAGCACUGCAGGGCUGGGAUUAAGCAAAAGGAAAUUGAAUUGACCACAGACAGUUAAGGAAGCAUAUCCGAGCACUUGGGCACCUGUUACCUUUUGGUCUGCAAAGAGCCAGCUCUGUGUGUGU